rnacentral:lncRNA from 1 species
GAGAGGAUUGGAGAAGGAGCUCUCUUGUUCUUCUUGCUUGAUUCAAAAGCUUCCAAGGUUGAUUGGAGGAAUUCUAAGAGGCAUUUCGAAGCGGGUUUCGUGGAUUUGAAAGGUGCUUAGAUGAAGGUAUAGCAAGAAGGAUUUUUGUAACAUGCCGAAAUUUCGGUAGAAAAUAUUGGACUUUAGUCAAAUUGACUAAAGCGUGUGAAUGAAAUGGUUGGACGAGUUCUAUUUAACAUUCCUAUAAGGUUGGAAGGGUUAAAAGUGAGUUUAGAAGGAGUUGGAAAUGUUUUAGCGUUGUUCGGUAUGAAAUAGAAUCGAAACGGAGCUAAAAAUCAAGUCUGGGCAUAGUGUACCGGUACAACCAUCGAGUUGUAACCAGUACAGCAAAGUGUACCGGUACAGCAUUGAAAGUGUACCGAUACAAAUGCUACGAAACGGAGAAGCAGCUCUCGGGUUUUGUCUCUGCUCAGUCGUGUUACCGGUGACACGAGGAAGUGUACCGGUACACUUUGGGCUUGUAACAUAUCAGAUUUUGAUAUAAAAGUAAAAAAAAUAAAUAAAAAUAGUGUAAAAUACUAUUUUUAUUGGAUUUAGAGAAGUAAAAUAUAAGUCGGAAAUGACUCGUGCUGAAAGGAACUAAAACAGAAGAUUUAGAAUUUUCUGUGAGAAACGUAGCUGAUAUUUUAACAGAAAAUGCACAGUGUCAGAAAAUUAUGAAAACUGGAGAAUAUGUCGAAAUUAUUUUUUUGAGGCUAGAUUUAAAGUUUCAUAUCAUUUUGACACCUGGAAGGUAAAAAAUAAAAUCCGACUGCUAUCUGCUAGAGAUUACAGUUCGGUGGAGCUUUCGAUGACCAAAUAUGGUCGAAACUGAAAAAUUAAAAUUUCUUUGUACUUAUUAAGUAAAACCGAGCCUGACUGUCAUAUUUG